UAGGGAAUCUUCCACAAUGGACGCAAGUCUGAUGGAGCAACGCCGCGUGAGUGAAGAAGGUCUUCGGAUCGUAAAGCUCUGUUGUUGGUGAAGAAGGAUAGAGGCAGUAACUGGUCUUUAUUUGACGGUAAUCAACCAGAAAGUCACGGCUAACUACGUGCCAGCAGCCGCGGUAAUACGUAGGUGGCAAGCGUUGUCCGGAUUUAUUGGGCGUAAAGCGAGCGCAGGCGGAAUGAUAAGUCUGAUGUGAAAGCCCACGGCUCAACCGUGGAACUGCAUCGGAAACUGUCAUUCUUGAGUGCAGAAGAGGAGAGUGGAACUCCAUGUGUAGCGGUGGAAUGCGUAGAUAUAUGGAAGAACACCAGUGGCGAAGGCGGCUCUCCGGUCUGCAACUGACGCUGAGGCUCGAAAGCAUGGGUAGCGAACAGGAUUAGAUACCCUGGUAGUCCAUGCCGUAAACGAUGAGCGCUAGGUGUUGGGGACUUUCCGGUCCUCAGUGCCGCAGCAAACGCAUUAAGCGCUCCGCCUGGGGAGUACGACCGCAAGGUUGAAAC
rnacentral:rRNA from 1 species